rnacentral:rRNA from 1 species
UACGUAGGUGGCAAGCGUUGUCCGGAAUUAUUGGGCGUAAAGAGCUCGUAGGCGGUUUGUCGCGUCUGCUGUGAAAACCCGAGACUCAACCUCGGGCCUGCAGUGGGUACGGGCGAGACUAGAGUGCGGUAGGGGAGAUUGGAAUUCCUGGUGUAGCGGUGGAAUGCGCAGAUAUCAGGAGGAACACCGGUGGUGAAGGCGGGUCUCUGGGGCCGAUAUUGACGCUGAGGAGCGAAAGCGUGGGGAGCAAACAGG